UACGUAGGGGGCAAGCGUUGUCCGGAUUUAUUGGGCGUAAAGAGCGUGUAGGCGGCUUUGUAAGUUAGAGGUGAAAGCCCGGAGCUCAACUCCGGAACUGCCUUUAAAACUGCAUCGCUUGAAUCCAGGAGAGGUGAGUGGAAUUCCGAGUGUAGAGGUGAAAUUCGUAGAUAUUCGGAAGAACACCAGUGGCGAAGGCGGCUCACUGGACUGGUAUUGACGCUGAGGUGCGAAAGCGUGGGGAGCAAACAGG
rnacentral:rRNA from 1 species